CGGGUGGUAAUGCCGGAUGCUCCGACUCCUCGCAUGGGGUGUCGGGAAAGAUUCAUCGGUAUGGGAUGGGGUCGCGUCCUAUCAGGUAGUCGGCGGGGUAACGGCCCACCGAGCCUACGACGGGUAGCCGGCCUGAGAGGGCGACCGGCCACAUUGGGACUGAGAUACGGCCCAGACUCCUACGGGAGGCAGCAGUGGGGAAUAUUGCACAAUGGGCGCAAGCCUGAUGCAGCGACGCCGCGUGCGGGAUGACGGCCUUCGGGUUGUAAACCGCUUUUGAUCGGGAGCAAGCCUUCGGGUGAGUGUACCUUUCGAAUAAGCACCGGCUAACUACGUGCCAGCAGCCGCGGUAAUACGUAGGGUGCAAGCGUUAUCCGGAAUUAUUGGGCGUAAAGGGCUCGUAGGCGGUUCGUCGCGUCCGGUGUGAAAGUCCAUCGCUUAACGGUGGAUCUGCGCCGGGUACGGGCGGGCUGGAGUGCGGUAGGGGAGACUGGAAUUCCCGGUGUAACGGUGGAAUGUGUAGAUAU
rnacentral:rRNA from 1 species